CAUCAUCAUCAUCAUUUAACGUCCGUUUUCCCAUGCUGGCAUGGGUUGGACGGUUUGAGAGGAGCCGGUAAGGCCAGGGGCCAUACCAGGCUCCAUUCUCUGUUUUGUCAUGGCUUCUAUGGCUGGAUGUCCUUCAUAAUGCCAACCACUUCACAGAGUGUAGUAGAGGCUUUCUAUGUGACACCA